rnacentral:rRNA from 1 species
UACGGGGGGGGCAAGCGUUGUUCGGAAUUACUGGGCGUAAAGGGCGCGUAGGCGGCCACCGCAAGUCAAUUGUGAAAUCUCCGGGCUUAACUCGGAAAGGUCAACUGAUACUGCGGGGCUAGAGUGCGGAAGGGGCAACUGGAAUUCUCGGUGUAGCGGUGAAAUGCGUAGAUAUCAGGAGGAACACCGGUGGCGAAGGCGGCUACCUGGACAGAAACUGACGCUGAGGCGCGAAAGCUAGGGGAGCAAACAGG